rnacentral:sRNA from 1 species
AACCCAUACUUGCUGGUCUGAGCCAUGCACAAGGCGGGGCAGCUAGGCCUCUGUGCCCGGGCAUGGAAGUUGGUGCGGAUGGCCAGCUCCGGGAUGACCCGCCGGGACCCACUCACAAAUAAGGUGGCCCUGGUAAUGGCCUCUACGGACUGGAUCGGCUUCACCGUUGCCCGGCGUCUGGCCCAAGAUGGGGCCCAAGUGGUUGUCAGCAGCCAGAAGCAGCAGAAUGUGGACCAGGCAGUGGCCACGCUGCAGGGGAGGGGCUGAGCGUGACGGGCACCGUGUGCCAUGUGGGGAAGGUGAAGGACUGGGAGCGGCGGGUGGCCACGGUGAGCUGCAGGGAAAUGGGUACAGAGCCAGGAGGUGGAAACGGGAGCCAGCCUGAGCCUCCUCCCCUGCUUUCCUGGACAGCAUUGGUGAGAUCCAAUGCAGUCCUGUUAACUAAAACAUAACAGUGCGUUCU